rnacentral:rRNA from 1 species
UACGAAGGGGGCGAGCGUUGUUCGGAAUUACUGGGCGUAAAGGGCGCGUAGGCGGCCGAUCAAGUCAGAUGUGAAAGUCCUGGGCUUAACCUGGGGACUGCAUUUGAUACUGAUUGGCUUGAAUGCAGGAGAGGAUAGCGGAAUUCCCAGUGUAGAGGUGAAAUUCGUAGAUAUUGGGAAGAACGCCGGUGGCGAAGGCGGCUAUCUGGACUGUGAUUGACGCUGGAGGCGCGAAAGCGUGGGGAGCAAACAGG